rnacentral:rRNA from 1 species
AGAGUUUGAUCCUGGCUCAGGAUGAACGCUGGCGGCGUGCCUAAUACAUGCAAGUCGAGCGAACGGACGAGAAGCUUGCUUNAUAAAAUGUAUAAUUAAUUCUUGUCGGUAAGAAAAAUGAACAUUGAAAACUGAAUGACAAUAUGUCAACGUUAAUUCCAAAAAACGUAACUAUAAGUUACAAACAUUAUUUAGUAUUUAUGAGCUAAUCAAACAUCAUAAUUUUUAUGGAGAGUUUGAUCCUGGCUCAGGAUGAACGCUGGCGGCGUGCCUAAUACAUGCAAGUCGAGCGAACGGACGAGAAGCUUGCUUCUCUGAUGUUAGCGGCGGACGGGUGAGUAACACGUGGAUAACCUACCUAUAAGACUGGGAUAACUUCGGGAAACCGGAGCUAAUACCGGAUAAUAUUUUGAACCGCAUGGUUCAAAAGUGAAAGACGGUCUUGCUGUCACUUAUAGAUGGAUCCGCGCUGCAUUAGCUAGUUGGUAAGGUAACGGCUUACCAAGGCAACNNNNNNNNNNNNNNNNNNNNNNNNNNNNNNNNNNNNNNNNNGAGUAACACGUGGAUAACCUACCUAUAAGACUGGGAUAACUUCGGGAAACCGGAGCUAAUACCGGAUAAUAUUUUGAACCGCAUGGUUCAAAAGUGAAAGACGGUCUUGCUGUCACUUAUAGAUGGAUCCGCGCUGCAUUAGCUAGUUGGUAAGGUAACGGCUUACCAAGGCAACGAUGCAUAGCCGACCUGAGAGGGUGAUCGGCCACACUGGAACUGAGACACGGUCCAGACUCCUACGGGAGGCAGCAGUAGGGAAUCUUCCGCAAUGGGCGAAAGCCUGACGGAGCAACGCCGCGUGAGUGAUGAAGGUCUUCGGAUCGUAAAACUCUGUUAUUAGGGAAGAACAUAUGUGUAAGUAACUGUGCACAUCUUGACGGUACCUAAUCAGAAAGCCACGGCUAACUACGUGCCAGCAGCCGCGGUAAUACGUAGGUGGCAAGCGUUAUCCGGAAUUAUUGGGCGUAAAGCGCGCGUAGGCGGUUUUUUAAGUCUGAUGUGAAAGCCCACGGCUCAACCGUGGAGGGUCAUUGGAAACUGGAAAACUUGAGUGCAGAAGAGGAAAGUGGAAUUCCAUGUGUAGCGGUGAAAUGCGCAGAGAUAUGGAGGAACACCAGUGGCGAAGGCGACUUUCUGGUCUGUAACUGACGCUGAUGUGCGAAAGCGUGGGGAUCAAACAGGAUUAGAUACCCUGGUAGUCCACGCCGUAAACGAUGAGUGCUAAGUGUUAGGGGGUUUCCGCCCCUUAGUGCUGCAGCUAACGCAUUAAGCACUCCGCCUGGGGAGUACGACCGCAAGGUUGAAACUCAAAGGAAUUGACGGGGACCCGCACAAGCGGUGGAGCAUGUGGUUUAAUUCGAAGCAACGCGAAGAACCUUACCAAAUCUUGACAUCCUUUGACAACUCUAGAGAUAGAGCCUUCCCCUUCGGGGGACAAAGUGACAGGUGGUGCAUGGUUGUCGUCAGCUCGUGUCGUGAGAUGUUGGGUUAAGUCCCGCAACGAGCGCAACCCUUAAGCUUAGUUGCCAUCAUUAAGUUGGGCACUCUAAGUUGACUGCCGGUGACAAACCGGAGGAAGGUGGGGAUGACGUCAAAUCAUCAUGCCCCUUAUGAUUUGGGCUACACACGUGCUACAAUGGACAAUACAAAGGGCAGCGAAACCGCGAGGUCAAGCAAAUCCCAUAAAGUUGUUCUCAGUUCGGAUUGUAGUCUGCAACUCGACUACAUGAAGCUGGAAUCGCUAGUAAUCGUAGAUCAGCAUGCUACGGUGAAUACGUUCCCGGGUCUUGUACACACCGCCCGUCACACCACGAGAGUUUGUAACACCCGAAGCCGGUGGAGUAACCUUUUAGGAGCUAGCCGUCGAAGGUGGGACAAAUGAUUGGGGUGAAGUCGUAACAAGGUAGCCGUAUCGGAAGGUGCGGCUGGAUCACCU